AUUGAACGCUGGCGGCAGGCUUAACACAUGCAAGUCGAGCGGGGGAAGGUAGCUUGCUACCGGACCUAGCGGCGGACGGGUGAGUAAUGCUUAGGAAUCUGCCUAUUAGUGGGGGACAACAUCUCGAAAGGGAUGCUAAUACCGCAUACGUCCUACGGGAGAAAGCAGGGGAUCUUCGGACCUUGCGCUAAUAGAUGAGCCUAAGUCGGAUUAGCUAGUUGGUGGGGUAAAGGCCUACCAAGGCGACGAUCUGUAGCGGGUCUGAGAGGAUGAUCCGCCACACUGGGACUGAGACACAGCCCAGACUCCUACGGGAGGAAGCAGUGGGGAAUAUUGGACAAUGGGGGGAACCCUGAUCCAGCCAUGCCGCGUGUGUGAAGAAGGCCUUAUGGUUGUAAAGCACUUUAAGCGAGGAGGAGGCUACUUUAGUUAAUACCUAGAGAUAGUGGACGUUACUCGCAGAAUAAGCACCGGCUAACUCUGUGCCAGCCGCCGCGGUAA
rnacentral:rRNA from 1 species